rnacentral:lncRNA from 1 species
UUAAUCCCCAAACUAUGGAAUUUUGUACUGGAACACUUUCAAGGGGGCAUUUUCUUCUUGUGUCAUCUUCUCCUUCUUUCCAUGCUUGGGAUAAAGGGUCUUCAUGACUGCUUUGGGGAAUCUAUGACUUGCCAACUCUCACAGAACUCAGAAAAGUCUCUCACACUCACAGGUACCAUUUAGUACAGUGAUGUCUGAUGCAUUGAAACCAGCAAAGGAAAGAGACCCACAGGGAAGAAUCCAGAAGGCUCUGUCUUGGGACCACACACCUGACAGGGAUGCCCUUUGAAGAAUCUAGGGACACUGCCCAGCUCCAGGGAUCACACAUGCCAUUCAGAGGAGCUGACCCAGGGCUCAGAGUCGAGGAGUUUUGUGAGAGAAUGUUCCCACAGGCAUGCUCUGCCAAGUGACAGACCUUACUUACUUUCCCCUCUGGCUUUUUCUCUCAGAACAAGCCAUAUGGUAUCCCCCUGUACUGCAGGCUAACAAAAAACAGCCCUUCACUAUAGGCCACCUUUUGGUAUAUUAUUACUUUGGCCUAAGUUCUCAGGGACAAAAGCACUCACCCCAAGCAAGAUAUUCCAAGGGCUCCCAGGUAAUGCUCCUAGCUAGCCACAGAGCAGCCCUUUCUUCAGAAUGUGCAGGUCUUGGGCAUCCCAGACCGGCUAAGCAAUCUUUUUAGCCCAGUUCCAUACAACACACAUGGGAGCUCAGGCAGGAGCAAGCUAUUAGAAAACUAGAAAUGUUUCCCUCUUGUUCUGGACAGUCUGAUUCACUCCUUGGGACUGAUGGAGGGCUUGUGACUUCUGACUGUCCUACAGUGAUCAAAGAGCACUGUCAGAAUAUGCUUGGGCAAGAGAAACUUUCCCAUAAUAUUUGCACAGCAGUUUCUUGAGAUUGUGGGUUUCUGUGGCUCUUGUUCAUCUCGGAUUAGGGGAGAAACAUCUCAAACUCACAGCAUAUGGCUAGCAUAGGUAGGCAGCUGUUUAGGCCAGAGUAACUGAGGCAAGCAGGACCCCAGCUUUCCACUUUGAAAACAUGAUUUCGGAGAGAGGGAGAGAGAGGGGAGACAGAGGGAGGGAGGGAAGGAGGAGGAAACAGAGGGAGGGAGGGAAGGAGGGAGGGAGGGAGAAUUGAAAUUGAACACUCAAUCUUCAUUCUAGGCAGUUUCCCUUCCACUGAGCUACACCCCAUCCCUAAAAGAAAAUAUUCUAGAAUGUGUUUUCUUUUUCCUUUCACCCCUUUGCCUCACCCCAAAUCUUGAUUUCCAGAUGAACAUG